CAUGCUUGCCAAAGAAACUGCAUUUUCUUGGACAAGCAUCGCUUUAUAAUCUUCCAUACAAAUAUGGGAAUCAGGGGACAAAAGACACACAAGAGGAAAAGGGAAUCUCUCAUUUGUCCCAGAAGACAGUGAGACAAGUCUGGAAUUCCUACCUAUCAACCAGGUUGUGAUCAGCUCUGCCACUCAGCAGAAUUUUGACAGACUUUCCAGAAAGCAACUGCUGUGGACUGCGUUUUUCCAUUCUUACCCUGAAGCUUCCUCUGCUGCUUCUGUGCUCCACACUGGAGUCUUCAGUGCACAGCAUUUUGAAGGUACAGAACACCAGGAACAUGGGAACAUAAGCCACCUCUUUCUGUAUCAUUAGAUGUCAAAAUGCUU
rnacentral:lncRNA from 1 species